GAUGAACGCUGGCUACAGGCUUAACACAUGCAAGUCGAGGGGAAACGACGGGGAAGCUUGCUUCCCCGGGCGUCGACCGGCGCACGGGUGAGUAACGCGUAUCCAACCUGCCUCUGACUGAGGGAUAACCCGUCGAAAGUCGGCCUAAUACCUCAUGGUAUCGUCUGCGGGCAUCCAACGACGAUUAAAGAUUUCAUCGGUCAGGGAUGGGGAUGCGUCUGAUUAGCUUGUUGGCGGGGUAACGGCCCACCAAGGCUACGAUCAGUAGGGGUUCUGAGAGGAAGGUCCCCCACAUUGGAACUGAGACACGGUCCAAACUCCUACGGGAGGCAGCAGUGAGGAAUAUUGGUCAAUGGGCGAGAGCCUGAACCAGCCAAGUAGCGUGCAGGAAGACGGCCCUAUGGGUUGUAAACUGCUUUUAUGCGGGGAUAAAGUGAGGGACGUGUCCCUCAUUGCAGGUACCGCAUGAAUAAGGACCGGCUAAUUCCGUGCCAGCAGCCGCGGUAAUACGGAAGGUCCUGGCGUUAUCCGGAUUUAUUGGGUUUAAAGGGAGCGUAGGCCGUGGAUUAAGCGUGUUGUGAAAUGCAGGUGCUCAACGUCUGCACUGCAGCGCGAACUGGUCCACUUGAGUGUGCGCAACGCAGGCGGAAUUCGUCGUGUAGCGGUGAAAUGCUUAGAUAUGACGAAGAACUCCGAUUGCGAAGGCAGCUUGCGGGAGCACAACUGACGCUGAAGCUCGAAAGUGCGGGUAUCGAACAGG
rnacentral:rRNA from 1 species